GUCGCCACCACUUUCUUUUCUUCCUCUCUUCAAGGCCAUCACCGCUUCCUUCUCUUCCUUUCUUCAAGGCCAGAUCCAUCGCCUCUGACCAUAUUUUCAUAAUGAAAGUGGCCCUGAUCUACAAGGAGGUGUUACAUGGGAUCCAAAUACCAACAAAGUUGAUGCUGCAGAGGAAAUUUGGCAACACUUUUUUAUGAUAAACAAGAUUGAGUACAAAAUAUUCAAGAAGGAAUGAUGUAAGCAUUAUGCAGUUCUUAAAGAGAUAUUUGGCAGAGUACAGCUACUGGAGGUUUAGGCAAUACUUCCACUCAGCUUCCUUCAACAUUAGAGGAAGAAAGACAGAUAAAAGAUGAUUUUCUAAACAAAGUACAUGUACGUGUGCAACAAAAUGAUGAUGAAUAUGAUGAAGUUACAAGUACUCAUCAUGACAAAUGAAGACCUAAAGAAUCCAAGACUAGUAAAGGUGAAAAACUCGAGGCUUGUAUAGCUCAAUGAUCAUUUAUAGUUAAUAUGAGAAAUGAAAAAAAUGAACUUAGGAUGUUUUACUUGAAAGAAAAGCUUGCACGCAGGCAAGGAAAAUCAU